rnacentral:lncRNA from 1 species
UUGUGUCCGGCUUUAGCAAGGUGUCGGACACUCACAGGGUUCGGCUCGGAUUCCAAAGUGGAAUUUGGGUCGGGUCUUGUCACAAACUGCCACCUCCAGCUGGCGAAUUAUUUGGUGCUUCAAUCGUAAGGGUUCGAAACCAAUUGGCAGCACUUUGUGGGCAAGGCAAGCCGAACUCUGAGCGAGGAUUAAUCCUACCCUUCGAGCGUAGAGACACCUCGUGGUAUUUACCAAAGAAACAAAAAUAAAACAAACUAGGCUGAGCUGGGCCAUGAGCUGACCUUGUUGGACUGAGCCGUGAGGGAAUCAGAGGUUUCAAAACCUAAGUCCAAUUCGUACCCAACCUUAAACAAACUAGGCUGAACGAGCCUAACCAUCAAAUCAAG